ACCAGAUCCAGUACAAUGAGCUUGUAGAGAAAAGCAGGUCUUACUGCCAGGCAAGGGACUAUGAGAUGGGGCUGGCUUGCGUGCUACAGGCUCUAGAGAUCUACCAGGACGAGGAACUGCAGUCUACAGCCAUGCUUAUACAGCGCAAGGUGCUGCGUCGACAGAAUAGGCAACCGCACUGAGGCACGCUGCAUAUGAUAAAACUGUCAUUAUUUGCUUUGUAAACAGGAUGUCGUACUCGUGCAGUAUUUGAACUUGAGAAUUUAUUGUUCAUGAUUAUUCUAUCCAAGAAAUGUUUUUUUGAUGUACACAUAUUAAAAUACAAUCUUUUCACAAUCAGAUAGAUUUAAACAUAUGUGUGCCUAUAUAUUUACGUUGUUUUUUUUUAUAUAUAAAUUUUUAUCAUCUUUUUUGGAUAUAUAAAGCAAUACUGUUAUUAUUGUUUGAAUACCUAUCUACAGGAAUAGUUAGGAGUACAUGUUUAUUCUGACGAUUUAAAAUGUUGAGCUGCUUUGAUUUCACAUUUAAAUUGUCAACAGUUUGCCCAUAAAUUCUUAUUUAUAACUAUUUUCAGAAAAAUAUUGUUUCUGCAUGACCCAAUUAUAAAUUUGUGAUUGAUGAGGAAUUAAGGGUAAGAAAAAUCAUUUAGUUUAUUUAUCUAGCAGAGUUAACACCCAUGGAAACAUACAGGGUUCUCACUGCCAUUCCCAAUUGUUGCCAAAAAUGCCAAAGUUUUUUUAAAAGGGGUGAUACAAUUUUCAAUUUGCGAAAAACAAGUGGCGAUUUUAAAUCUCUGCCAUUAGUUUCCUCAUUUACAGGUUAUGCAAAUUUGAACAUUGAAAUGGACGGUCAGGAGCAAUUAGACUUAUUGGAAUUGUUUUUUAUUAAUUGCCAUUUAACUAUGCUUCUGCAAAAUUUAAUGGCCCAUUAAAACAAUCUACAAUCAAUGACAAAUCAGAAAAAAUAGAGAUUUUAUUUACUUAUGUCUUACAAUAAUUGAAAUGCAUCCUUUUGAAAUCAAAAACUAAUUUCAGCCUCUACUAUAGAAAUUAAUUCAGCAGAAAUGAGGCUAAUCAAUUUUUAUGUACAUAGAAGGUUAAGGGUUAAAUAUAUAAAGUUAACUCAGUUAAGUACAUCAAUAAAUCAACAUCAUCACA